rnacentral:lncRNA from 1 species
GUCAUGCAGUUAAAGUUAAUAUUAUGUACUCUCCAUCUAUUGAUCUUAGCUACUUCUAUCCUCAGAAGUAUGCAACCACUUUCAUCCACCACAUUCACUAUGUGCUACUUCUAUUCCUGGAAGUACCACCCACAUAUACACGCUACACUCUAUGUUGUUUCUAUCAUGGAGACACGCACCUAUGCUGCUCCUACCCUAGGAGUACAUGUUCCUUCAUCACCCACACACAUUCCACAUGCACUUAGAAAAUGUUCUACUCCUACACUGGGAGAAGAGACCCAAAAAUAUUUAAUGUCUCAUUCUACUUAUCCAAUAAAGCUCCAGUUAUGCUAGUUGAUACUCCCUACUGUUGUCAUUGCAUUAAAAGGGAUGGCUGAUCUCUAAAAAAAGAAAACAAUAAAGAAAGAGGACAAAAGUCCCAAUUCAAAAGAAAAGAAAGACAACCAAAUCCUUGUCCUCAGUUUAGGAAGGUAUGUUAUCCCCAAGGAGCAAAUGUAGAAUUAGAUAUUCACCGUCAGUUAUCACCCCUCAUAACCCCUUUCAUUCUUAUCACUUCAUUUCACUUCACUCACAUGCACAUAUUACUUGAUUGUAUAGUUAGUUUCUCUUGAUCCAUGGUUUAACUAUGCGAUAUAUGCAAAUAGGUUUGAAUUGUCUUUCCCACCUAUGAGCUCCACAUAAGCCAAUUAGAAGUAGGGUGAGAGAGAGAAGGCAACUAUGUCUUAGUGAUACAAAUACCACAUAUUCUAAGAGCAGAGAGAAGGCAUACUCACUUGC